UUUCGGUUGAUCCUGCCGGACCUGACUGCUAUCGGAUUGGUACUAAGCCAUGCGAGUCGUUGUACAAUACAAGGCGGACUGCUCAGUAACACGUAGUGAACUUAACCUAUGGAUGGGAAUAACCUCGGGAAACUGAGAAUAAUACCCAAUGGGCCACAGUGCCUGGAAUGGCCUGUGGUUGAAAUGAUUUAUCGCCGUAGGAUAGGACUGCGGCCUAUCAGCUUGCUGGUGAGGUAAUGGCCCACCAAGGCUAUAACGGGUACGGGCUCUGAGAGGAGGGGCCCGGAGAUGGGUACUGAGACACGGACCCAAGGCCUAUGGGGCGCAGCAGGCGAGAAACCUUUGCAAUGUGCGAAAGCACGAACAAGGUAGUUCCAAUGGUCUGUUUGCUGAUGGAAUGAGUCGUCAAGUCGUAUUGUCGACAUCGCAGUGUGAGUCCGGGGUGGUCAGGUUCUGGUGUCAGGCGCCGAGGUAAAACCAAGUCUCGAGUGGUCAGGAGGCCUAUUGGGUCUUAAAGCAUCCGUAUCCGGUUGCGUAAGUUCUCGGGGUCAAUCUAUUGCGCCUUACCGUAUUGGCC
rnacentral:rRNA from 1 species